rnacentral:snRNA from 13 species
AUAUAUACUAUGUGUGGGAAACUCCGUGAUCAGGAAGGCGGAGACCCCAGGAGGAUGCCCUUCCAUUGUGCUUCGGAAGGGCUGACAUCUACCGCUCUCCCAAACUGGGAAAGAUUACUGACAUCUAAUUUUUGGUGAAGGCACUCUUA